CGGACGGGUGAGUAAUGCCUAGGAAUCUGCCUGGUAGUGGGGGACAACGUUUCGAAAGGAACGCUAAUACCGCAUACGUCCUACGGGAGAAAGCAGGGGACCUUCGGGCCUUGCGCUAUCAGAUGAGCCUAGGUCGGAUUAGCUAGUUGGUGGGGUAAAGGCCUACCAAGGCGACGAUCCGUAACUGGUCUGAGAGGAUGAUCAGUCACACUGGAACUGAGACACGGUCCAGACUCCUACGGGAGGCAGCAGUGGGGAAUAUUGGACAAUGGGCGAAAGCCUGAUCCAGCCAUGCCGCGUGUGUGAAGAAGGUCUUCGGAUUGUAAAGCACUUUAAGUUGGGAGGAAGGGCAGUAAGUUAAUACCUUGCUGUUUUGACGUUACCAACAGAAUAAGCACCGGCUAACUUCGUGCCAGCAGCCGCGGUAAUACGAAGGGUGCAAGCGUUAAUCGGAAUUACUGGGCGUAAAGCGCGCGUAGGUGGUUUGGUAAGAUGGAUGUGAAAUCCCCGGGCUCAACCUGGGAACUGCAUCCAUAACUGCCUGACUAGAGUACGGUAGAGGGUGG
rnacentral:rRNA from 1 species